GGUAAAAUAGCUCCAUUUUACAGUUAAGGAAGCUGAGGUUCAACUGAGGCCCCAAAGCUAGUUAAUGUACUAGUUCUUAGAACAUUCUUUGAACACAAAGACUAUGAUGAACUCCCUUCUGAGCCACUCACAAAUACUAGCCAACCACUAUCCUGCAGAUCUUUGGGAAAGGGAAAUUAGAAGUUCUUUUGGAGAGGCAGAGGUUGGGGAAAACUCAUCACCCACAGAGUGAACUCCCAUGUGGGGCUGCAAGGAAACCGAGCAAACCCAGUCCAGGCAGGACUCACCUUUGGCCUCUUCCCAGAGGAUGUCCUGAAGAAACUUCCCCAGGGCCUGGCUGUGCUGCUGGUACUGAACCCCUGACAGCUUGAUUCCAACAUCAAAGGGGGCGUUGAACUAGGAGGCAGGGCAGGGAGGACCCAGGAGAUGUCAGAGGUCAUGCCCAUCCCCAUCUCAAAGGGGGCUCUGGGCUCUCUGCCUCUCUUCAGGAGUGGAGAGGGAGAAUGGCCUUUGGGCCCCAGCAGGGACUGCUGAGUGACACCUCAGCCAGGUUCUCUUCCUUUCUCAGGACCACAGCUCACCUUCCCACUCACCAUCUUUCAGACACUUACCUUGCACUCUCAUGCCUCUCAGCCUUAGCCUCUAAUGGGAUUGCUGAUAAAAGCUGUGGUGCCCCCUAGUGUGAGAUUUUUUUUCUCCCUUGCAGUUUUGAAGACAAAAGGUUGAGUCACCAAUGGCAGCAUUUCAGGCCCUGGCAGGGGGUCUGCCCAGCAUUCUCAGCACUGGCCUGCUGGCCUUCUAUUCCUUCCCUGCUCCCAGCUCUUUCUCCUUUCUCUCUUGUCUGUUUCUUCUCCUUUUUCUCCUUCCCUAGGUAUUUUUUCUCUCAUAUGCAUAGACCUUUCUUUGAUGCCUGGAAAAUCAAAAGGAAGUUGAUGUUUUCCUAGAAAGAGGCUCUGAGCCAAGUCCUUUCUGUGCUUCCAUUUCUUCCCCUCUACAGGGAGAGCGCCUCAUCUCUUCCAUUUUCCAGGUAUUCCUGAGAUGAUUUAUUGGAGCUCAAAGCUUUGGGCAAAUGCGGGGUGGCUGAUCACCUGGCAGACAUCUUAGGAAACAGGAGCACCGGUCUGGGAAACUGCUGGCCUGGCCUAACACCUGGCGCUGUGGUGCAGGCAAGAGGGCAGCCACUGAGGAUUCUUGAGGAGAGAGAGACCAUAGAAUGAAUGAAAGAGUUGGAAAGACUUUAAAGCUCUGGGAGGCUGAAUCCUUUAUUUCGCUGGAAGAAAAACUGAAUGCCAAGAGGGCCUCACUUUCCCCAAAGCUAUACAGCCAUCAGGGGCAAUGCUGGGAUUCCCCCAUGGAUCUCUUGACUCCUAAUACAGUGCUCUUUCUGAUAUGCCAUCUGGCUCCAUAAUGAACAUUGUGUUCCAGGAAAAUCAGUCUGCGCUGAACAGGAUGGAAUUGGGGCAGGACGUCCAGUGAGGAGGACAUUGAGGCAGUAGAGCAGUUGAUUGCCGAAUGACCACCUACCCUGACUUAAAAGAUCAACCUCAGGGAGGAUUGGAGCUUUCUAGAGUCUCUUGGGACAGCAGAAGCACAGGCCGGGUUGGACUGAAUCUUUAAGUGGACAUGAGGGACAAAGUACCUCCUGUUGGUAAACAUCUCACCACCAACCCACUGUGGUGGCUAAAAUCCCACCUUUAGUCCCAGCAACAUAUGAGCAUGUCACCAGGAGGUCUUCACAGGCCUGUCUGCCACCUGAGUGUAGACAUCUUUUGGCCCUGGAGCCCAGAGAGGCUGAAUGUGGAGAGGGUGGAGAGAGGUCUGUAGUCCUCAGAGAAGACUUGCAGCUUUUUCAGAGCCACCAACCCAU
rnacentral:lncRNA from 10 species